rnacentral:lncRNA from 1 species
GUUUACAUCUGACACGUGUUUUUCUUAACCUUAACCUUGAGAGAUUUUCAUCAGGAUCCCACGGUUCUUUCCAAACCCUAUACACUUAUACGCCUUCAUACGUUCCUAAUCUAUCCAUCUAUUCAUGCCUAAUCAUCUUCGCAAGAUCUUAUAAUCUUCUCCAUCGCCGUCCAAGAAGUUCCUAAUUCUCGAUUUUUAAUCAAGAUACCACAGGUUCCAUGUGAAAAAGCUACAGGCAUGCUUCCCUCCUGGGACCGACCUCUCGAAGGGUACCCCGAAGAUCAUUGAUAAAGCUUCUUGUGUGGAUGUCAAUGGCGAAGUCAUUAUUGAUGAACCUGCAGGUAAAUCUUACAGGAAUGUAG